rnacentral:rRNA from 1 species
CCUACGGGAGGCAGCAGUGGGGAAUAUUGCACAAUGGGGGAAACCCUGAUGCAGCGACGCCGCGUGAGUGAAGAAGUACUUCGUUAUGUAAAGCUCUAUCAGCAGGGAAGAACAUGACGGUACCUGAGUAAGAAGCCCUGGCUAACUACGUGCCAGCAGCCGCGGUAAUACGGAGGGGGAAAGCGUUCUCCGGAUUUACUGGGGGUAAAGGGAGCGUAGACGGCAGGGCAAUACUGGAGUGAAAGGCCGGGGCUCAACCCCCGGACUGCUCUGGAAACUGGACGGCUGGAGUGCAGGAGAGGUAAGUGGAAUUCCAGGGGUAGGGGUGAAAUGCGUAGAUAUUAGGAGGAACACCAGUGGCGAAGGCGACUUACUGGACUGUAACUGACGUUGAGGAUCGAAAGCGUGGGGAGCAAACAGGAUUAGAUACCCGGGUAGUC